UCAUGGCUCAGAUUGAACGCUGGCGGCAGGCCUAACACAUGCAAGUCGAGCGGAUGAAGGGAGCUUGCUCCUGGAUUCAGCGGCGGACGGGUGAGUAAUGCCUAGGAAUCUGCCUGGUAGUGGGGGAUAACGUCCGGAAACGGGCGCUAAUACCGCAUACGUCCUGAGGGAGAAAGUGGGGGAUCUUCGGACCUCACGCUAUCAGAUGAGCCUAGGUCGGAUUAGCUAGUUGGUGGGGUAAAGGCCUACCAAGGCGACGAUCCGUAACUGGUCUGAGAGGAUGAUCAGUCACACUGGAACUGAGACACGGUCCAGACUCCUACGGGAGGCAGCAGUGGGGAAUAUUGGACAAUGGGCGAAAGCCUGAUCCAGCCAUGCCGCGUGUGUGAAGAAGGUCUUCGGAUUGUAAAGCACUUUAAGUUGGGAGGAAGG
rnacentral:rRNA from 1 species